UACGAAGGGGGCUAGCGUUGCUCGGAAUCACUGGGCGUAAAGGGUGCGUAGGCGGGUCUUUAAGUCAGGGGUGAAAUCCUGGAGCUCAACUCCAGUACUGCCUUUGAUACUGAGGAUCUUGAGUUCGGGAGAGGUGAGUGGAACUGCGAGUGUAGAGGUGAAAUUCGUAGAUAUUCGCAAGAACACCAGUGGCGAAGGCGGCUCACUGGCCCGAUACUGACGCUGAGGCACGAAAGCGUGGGGAGCAAACAGG
rnacentral:rRNA from 1 species